GGUUGAUCCUGCCAGUAGUCAUAUGCUUGUCUCAAAGAUUAAGCCAUGCAUGUCUAAGUUUAAGCUCGUCAGAGCGAAACUGCGAAUGGCUCAUUAAAACAGUUAUAGUUUCUUUGAUGACUAAAAAUUACUACUUGGAUAACUGUAGUAAUUCUAGAGCUAAUACAUGCGUACAAGCCUGACUUUUUGGAAGGCCGCACUUAUUAGAUACAAAACCAACCUAGGGUAACCUAGAGUCCUGGUAAUUCAUAAUAAUUUUGCUGAUCGCACAGUUCGCUGGCGAUGCGUCAUU
rnacentral:rRNA from 1 species